rnacentral:misc_RNA from 1 species
CAGCGUUCACGAGACUGCGUCUCGUGAGCCAACCAGAACCUCCGGUUCUGGUGACGACGACUAACUGGCAUUCCCACCGUGUGGGAAGCCCCGCCGUUCAUGGCGGGGAGGAUGUCACGUAGAGCGUGAAC